ensembl:lncRNA
UGUAAGUUAGAUGAGUGACCUGUUACAUCCCACUAGGUACCUCUUGCCCAUAUGCUAUCUUAGGUGUAUUAGAAUAGUUGCUCUUUCAUCCUGCAGAUGUAGCCCCACUCUAAGAUACAGCUAUCCACAGUACAAUGUCCAAUGUGGGGUAUGGCCUUGCAAACAAACUCCUUCCUCUCUCUCUUCCGCCAGGUUUCCGCCAUUUGCAACAUCUUUCCUGGUUGGUCCAGGAAAGGCAGGCUUGAUUGACUGUCCUAAUCUCCAAGUGGGUCAUCCCACUUGCUCUUCUAGAACCUGGCUACUCUAAAGGACAUGGGAAAGCAGCUGAGCCACUGGGGAAUUAGUUCCAGGAAUGUCACUAAAGUUAUCAGACUGGGAACAAGUCUCUGAACCAAG